AUACAGCUGACGAGUCCCAAAUAGGUCGAAACGCGUGUCCUAGAU
rfam:Schistosoma rodhaini strain Burundi genome assembly, scaffold: SROB_scaffold0019398